UACAGAGGGGGCAAGCGUUGUUCGGAAUUACUGGGCGUAAAGGGCGCGUAGGCGGCUUCGCAAGUCCCAUGUGAAAGCCCACGGCUUAACCGUGGAAGUGCAUGGGAAACUGCAGAGCUUGAGUACUUAAGAGGAUCGCGGAAUUCCCGGUGUAGAGGUGAAAUUCGUAGAUAUCGGGAGGAACACCAGUGGCGAAGGCGGCGAUCUGGGAAGAUACUGACGCUGAGGUGCGAAAGCGUGGGGAGCAAACAGG
rnacentral:rRNA from 1 species